GGCGGGGUUCCCGAGCGGCCAAAGGGAGCAGACUGUAAAUCUGCCGUCAUCGACUUCGAAGGUUCGAAUCCUUCCCCCGCCA
rfam:Buttiauxella agrestis ATCC 33320 GBAG.assembly.024, whole genome shotgun sequence.